rnacentral:rRNA from 1 species
GCCCCCGGACUAUGGCGGGGGAGUAGCAAACUGCUCAGUAACACGUAGCUAACCUACCCUUGGGACGGGGAUAACCCCGGGAAACUGGGGUCAAUACCUGAUAGGCGUGGAUUCCUGGAAUGGUUUCACGCUUAAAUGUUAGCGCACCCAUGUCGUGCGCACACGCCCAAGGAUGGGGCUGCGGCCGAUCAGGCUGUUGGUGAGGUAACGGCUCACCAAACCUUUGACCGGUACGGGCCAUGAGAGUGGUAGCCCGGAGAUGGGCACUGAGACAAGGGCCCGCGCCCUACGGGGUGCAGCAGGGGCGAAACCUCCACAAUGCACGAAAGUGCGAUGGGGUUACCUCGAGUGCCAUCUGAUGAAGGUGGCUUUUCCGCGGUGUAAGUAGCCGUGGGAAUAAGGGGGGGGCAAGACUGGUGUCAGCCGCCGCGGUAACACCAGCCCCCCGAGUGGUGGGGAUGUUUAUUUGGCCUAAAGCGUCCGUAGCCAGCUAGGUAAAUCCCUCGUUAAAUCCAGCGUCCUAAGCGUUGGGCUGCGAGGGAGACUGCUCAGCUAGAGGGUGGGAGAGGUCAGCGGUAUUUCUGGGGUAGGGGCGAAAUCCAUUGAUCCCAGGAGGACCACCAGUGGCGAAGGCUGCUGACUAGAACACGCCUGACGGUGAGGGACGAAAGCUGGGGUAGCGAAUCGGAUUAGAUACCCGAGUAGUCCCAGCCGUAAACGAUGCAGGCUAGGUGUUGGGUCGGCCAC